rnacentral:lncRNA from 1 species
CAACCAAUGGCCAAAGCUGUAAACUAAAGCUGCUAGGUGUCCGGGCAUUCAAAGGAGAGUUUGACCAGCCUGCGGCACCUCCUCAGAGGAACCACCAACCCACCCCACCUGACCCUGUGUAUGUGGGCCCAUUGCUUUCUGAGCCACAGAACUGAGGGCCCAUGUGAGGACGUGCCAUGGAAGUACGUGGUGAGAGAGUGCUGGAGACAGCUUGACAUGCUCCCCGCAGCCGUGUGCACACAGAGGCUGGAUACCCCUGGGAGCCUGUGCCAGCAGGAUAAAUUCCCAAAGAAGAGGAGCGAGGUAGGAAGAGAUGACUGGGGGCCAGGGAACUGGAGAACAUUCCAGAUCAUCCCCUCCUCAGGCUUGAGGCACUGGUGACCCACUGAGGCAAAACAUACCUGAAUUUCAACCUAGAAGUUCAAGGUGAUCAUUGUAUGUAAACAACAGGCUCAAACAUCCUCCAAGGUGAUUGUGUCUAUUUGGGACGUGGAGAUUUUCAUGUCACGUGUGAAAUGAGGAUACUGUUUGGGUAUUAAACUGAUGUCUUUUUCAUUCAUCAUACCCUCUGACUUCCUGCCCACUAUCUUAUUGCUUCAGGGUAGGGUAGGGUAGCUACCAGCUAGAAUUGAAA